GCGCACGGGUGAGUAACGCGUGGGAAUCUACCCCAAAGUCGGGGAUAACCGCUGGAAACGGCGGCUAAUACCGGAUACGCCCUGAGGGGCAAAGCUUUUGCGCUUUGGGAGGAGCCCGCGUCCGAUUAGCUAGUUGGUGGGGUAAAGGCCUACCAAGGCUGCGAUCGGUAGCUGGUCUGAGAGGAUGAUCAGCCACACUGGGACUGAGACACGGCCCAGACUCCUACGGGAGGCAGCAGUGGGGAAUCUUGGACAAUGGGGGCAACCCUGAUCCAGCCAUGCCGCGUGGGUGAAGAAGGCCUUAGGGUUGUAAAGCCCUUUCGGCGGGGAAGAUGAUGACGGUACCCGCAGAAGAAGCCCCGGCUAACUCCGUGCCAGCAGCCGCGGUAAUACGGAGGGGGCUAGCGUUGUUCGGAAUCACUGGGCGUAAAGGGCGCGUAGGCGGACCACCAAGUCAGGGGUGAAAGCCCUGGGCUCAACCUAGGAAGUGCCCUUGAAAC
rnacentral:rRNA from 1 species